AUGGCGGAUUCGAAGCUGCCCGACAUCCAGUCCGGCUACGAGAAGGGCAUCACCAACGUGCUGGCGGGUCUUUCCGGCCUCAAUCUGAUCUACGAGUCGG
rfam:Mesorhizobium australicum strain B5P genome assembly, contig: Ga0048943_14